AGACGACAAACUCCGGUUUCGGCCCGUAUAAAGGUAUUAACUUACCCGCCUU
rnacentral:tRNA from 1 species